GGUUAAACUGUCUCCUUUUUCAUAUCAGUGAAACUAAUCUCUCCGUGAAGAAACGGGGAUAUUUUUAUAAGACGAGAAGACCCCAUGGAGCUUUAAACUUAACUACACUCCGCUUAACUUUACUUUUAAACCUCUCGAAUCCUGUAUGUUCUGUUUUAGGUUGGGGUGACCGCGGAGUAUAAACUAACCUCCACGAAUGAAUAGAUUUUUUCUUAUCCAAGACUUACACCUCUAAGAAUUAGUAUUCUAACAUAAAAUGAUCCGAUAUUCGAUCAACGAACCAAGUUACCCUGGGGAUAACAG
rnacentral:rRNA from 1 species